GCGAGCAGUGGCCCAGCCUCACUCAGGUGCAGUUCUCCGUGCUGCGCCUCACGUACAGAGACGCUGUCUAUCCUCCAGCUAUUUACCACCAGCUCAUUUUGCAAACUGCACUCAAAAGAUUUUUUUUUCCCACUCUCCCUCCCUACUUCCCUCCCUCCCUCUCUCUGUUCCCUGUAGAGAUGCUCAGUGUUCCCCAUUCAGCUUCAAGCACAAGGUCUUCCAUCUGCACAGGCAUUGUACACGCUGACCUGCAAGCAGGUUCUUUUUGGCUUGUCCAAAUUCACUCCCUUUCCCUUCUCCCACUCCAUCGUGGCUUUAGUCCUGGUGGGUGGAACUGUGGUGAACAAAGAGGGAGGCUGGUGUGAGCUGAAAUCCUGCCGGGGGACACCUGGCCAGAGAGCCUGCUGCUCCUGCUCACACACCCAUGAGCCUGGAGGUCUGGCCCCUGCUGCCCUGCAGGGCUGCUCACUUCCCACUGGGUUGUGGGGUUGCCAUCUUUACUGACUGAGGAUAACUAUCCUUUGUUACGGGAGAGGAAAGAAGGAAAGGGAGGGAGGAAAGGAGGAAAAGGAGCUCAUGCGGGACUGGGGAGAGUCCCCUGAGGUGGGAAGGCACAGGAGUUUAUUCCUGUGGGGGGGCUGGUAAGGGAUGUGGAGUAAGACCCAGCCAGGGAUUGCCCCAUUGUGUGUUGAGGAGGGAGAGUAGAAUAUUACAAGGAGAGGGCAGUGGGAGUCUCGGCCCUCCCCAGUGGGGAAUUGGAAAGGGAUUGAUGAGGAAAAGGGGCUGCCCUCAGUGUCUCUUCCUGGAGGGGGUUGCUUGGCCCUGGGGGGGUUUCUUCCUGAGCAGGGACUAUGGCUGACUGCUUAACUCACCGUUCUCCUGGUGGGUAUGUGCUGCUUUAAUCUCUUUUUUUUUUUUGAAACCUAAGGCCCAUGACUUGUCUCAGGCUUUUACAUCCUGUCUCCCCCGUGCCGAGAAAGGGCUUUGUGGUUUUAAGGAGGUGCUUGAAAACACGAGCUGGGGGUUUCCCUAAGGGUGGGAAACCAGACAACAUAGGUAGGAAACUGCUGUCUCUGUCUUCUGAUUUCUGCCAGGCUGGGCGGUGGUGGGGCUGACCGCUCAGCUCUUGGUCGUGCUCACCCCGAGGGUGGCGAGAAAACCACCCCAAAUACAGCUGGGGCACACCUGAGGCUGGGCUGGAUCUGGGAUUUCCCACUGUAGGGACCAGAACAAUAGCUUCGCUGGCACAGAUGUGGGACGGGUGACUGAGCGGAAGAAAUGACUGCACACAGCCCCACAGCUUCCGUGUCCCCCGGGGUGGGUGUGGAUCAUGCCUGCCGUGCACCACGAAACAGACCUCGCUGUUCCCAGGAGGUAAUGAGCUGGGGCAAUGGCUGCUUUCCUAUCCACCCUGCCCAUUCUGUCACAUGGGAAAUAAAAUUUCCUUCAGAGGCAGAUUUGUCUGCCUGCAUUGGUGAGGUUUCUUUCUGGGAAGUGUUGGAGGUGCAGAGCUACUCGGGCAGCUCUGCUGAGACUGAGAGAGGUGCUUCACCAGGAGAGAAGGUAUAACAUGGCUCUUCCAAAUAGCACACUGACCCAAUUCCUGCUAGGGGUACCUAGCCAUGUGCCACCCCUAUGCCACUGUGCCAGAGCAGAGCUGUCCUGUGGUCAAGGUCAGGGACCCUGCGGAAAGUGCCAGCACAGUGCUUGCAGUUGCUGGGCUCCAUUUUUCAGCAGUACCCACUUAGGGGAUGGCCAAGGAUGGUGCUGCAGCACUGACCCCUUCAGCAAGGCCAGCUCUGCCCCAGGAAUGGUGUCAUGCAGAUCUGGUGGUGCCUUUGGAACUGUUUGGGCACCAGUUCAGGCACAUUGGCCCUGCUUUAGCCUGGAUGAUCCCACUUGCCUGACCUAAAUCCCACAGUGGUUUCAGCAGGACACAGGGUUUUUCAUCAGUCCUUACCUGAACCAUUUAGGUAGGAUUGCUGUGUGCUGGCAGGUAGUUACUUUAAAAGGGUCUAUGCUUCAGCGUCAUCCUGGGUCCUGCACAAUCUUUCAUCCAGAGGGCAUGCAAGAGGAGAACUCUCCAUCCAAUGGAGUGAAGUGCCCCUGGGGCUGUGAGGGGAUGUGGGAGGAGGACAGGAGAGCCUGUAGUGACAUAGGUGCUUCCACACUGUGGUGGCCAGGAGGUCCCUGCCUAGUUUUGCACUUUGCAGCACCUCCAAGCCACUGGUAUCCCAGGCCUUGAUGGGGCUCAAGGCUAGGGAGGACAAGGCAGCACCUUGCCACCCUGUGUUAGCCUGGCUCAAGGAAAGAAGAGCAUCUGAACUCCAGAUGAAGCAUGGAGCAGAGCCCAGCUGCUCAGCUGGGCCUGCAGUUUCUCACCUCCACCCUGUGACCAGCAUUAGUUCUCACUGCUUGGCAGCCAGGAGCUCAAACGGUGCCUUGCUUGGACAAGCUGUCAAUCCAAGGAUUUUUGUUUUCAUAUUAAAUCAGCUAAGUAUUCAGAAUCAAUUCCAGCUACCACCAUGGGGAAAGCUACUCCAAGAUACAUAAAUCCCUGCCAAACCUGCCUGUGCUACCUCUGAGGCAGCAGUGCCACUGCUCUGUAGUGCUGCUGGGAAUGGGUGUGUGGCAGGGCUCUGACCCACUGUCCAGCACUCACACAGUGUGUGAGUGUGUCUCAAGGGGAGAGGAUCUCUCUGCAAACCUGCCAGCCAGCAUGCAGGGAGCUUGCCCUGAUAUCACUUUGCUGGGGGGGCAUCCAAAUGCAUGCCCAGAUUUCUUUCCUCAGGAAGUGGUUGGAAAGAAGGGGAUAAUGCCUGUCUGGAGCCUCAGGUGGAGGAGAGCAGGAUGGGGGAGCUGUUGUGCAACCCCACCAUCCUGUGCUCAGGUCCCCAUGGCUGUGGGACCUCCACAUCCAUGCAGGAUGAGACCUUACUGUGUAGGACAGCCACACAUUCAGGCCAUUUGCUACGUGCCUGGUACUUUGUCUUGCUGGGUUUUCCCCAUGUGGUUUGCGGGACCUGGAGCUUGUUGGCCUGCUGGGCACACCACACAGCAUGUCCCUUUUCCAGGGUGAGCUUGUCUGGCUCUCCCAGUCCUGUUUUGGGAAGCAGGCAUUAGGGUAGUACGCUGUGCUGGGCACGUAGGCCAUCCUUGGGUAGUGACUCUGAGUGUUUGGCCGUCUGAUGUAAUGAACUAAUUAGGAAUUUGCUGUCACCACAGCUGGACUCACCUGGCUUGCACGCUACAGCCGGGUGAUUCUCACUCCGUGUGACAGUCCUCCAGCCUCACGGGGCACCAGGAAUAGCGGCGAGGGGAUCACAUGGCCACUCUGGCUGUCCUCCCCUGCACUGUGACAGCCUUCUGGCAGCCAUGCGUGCAAGUGUUACGAGGUGGAUUCAGUGGCUGUGGAGAAAUGUGCUCCUCCUCUCCAGCCCCUGUGGGACAGGCAGGUGAUGUAUCUCCUGAUUUGCCAGCAGCACACGUGGCUGGGACAUGGCCCUGGCAGCAGGCAGCAGUGGUCAUGGCACUCCUCCUCUUGGGGAUUCAACAAAGAUAGCCCAUGGCAGUAAUGUGACCAAAUGCCUUUGGAGAUUUCUCCCUGGUGCUUUGAAAGGAUCCUUGUGCCAGGCAAAGAGCUGAGCAGGGCAGAUCCUUGCAGCAGGGAAGCGUCCUGCUGCCUGUAGAAGCAUGGCUCUCUGCUUAUACUGCCUCUGUGGUGCCAACAGCUGUGAGGUGGAGUAGGCACAACAUACAAGGACUCCACUUCCCAAGUAACACACAAUGCAGAGAAUCCUUCAAUGCUGAUGAAUGAUUUUCAUACCUGUCCAGAUACACAGGUUGCAUAAUGGGCCUUGAGUGCUGAUGCUAGCUCAGGGCAUGCCAGCAUCACUGGGUUUUCCCCCAGGGAACCCCUGGAAAGAGCCCACUCCCAACAUGUGCCAGGGGCCAGUGUCUGUGAGUGGACAUACUGAGAACCACCAUGGUGACCAUGAAGGUGGGGGGUCCUGGGGAAGGCAUGCUGGGCAUAAGCAGAAAUCAGCCACAGCUGCUGGAAGAGCCUCAGAGAGGAAAAGUAUUCAGCCCACAGAAAAUGAAUUAGCGUUGACGUUCACUGAACAUUUGUUUUGAUUAAGCAAUGUGGCUCCAAGUUUCUCAGCUGUGGGAAGUUGGUCACCACAGCACUCACUGGAUGUUUUUUGGUGUUGCUGUUCAUGGCACUGGCCAAGGGACUGAGUGGUGGUGGGGAGAGCUGGCCCCACCCUCAGAAGCCUCCUCCUUUGCACCACACCUUCUCUCCCUGGUUUCUCCUCAUCCAGAGAGCUGAGGCAAUGGUGGUUUUUCCUUUCCAGAAGUGGAUGCUCUGAGUGAUGCCCUGUCCCAAAAGACAUAUGCAGCAUUUGCAAGGAGGCCGUGGUGGGGCAUCUGGUGCGAGGACCUCCUGAAAUUUCCUGUGGGUGCUGGAGAUAUGGAGGUGACAGGCAGCCUUGUCCCAGCUUGGUUCCAGCCCUGCUGGGAUGGUGACACUGGUAGUCAUCAGGGCAUUGACUGUUCCACCAGCUUCCAAAUGCAGAGUUUAGGAAAGGCUGUGGCUGGGGACUGUGAGCUGCUCUCCACUGCCACAAAUACCUUGUAGCAGUUGUAUGUGUGGCUCUGCCAGCUGGGCAUGCAAAAAUACCUUACAGGCAUGGAAUAAAACAUUUAUUUCUUAGAAAUCUGUAUAAAUUGGAACCAUCUCCCAACAAGAAGUGCCGAGUUUGGUUUCCCGAUGUAAAGUGGCAGCUACAAUGAAGAAAAAGACAAAAAAAGGCUGGACCACCCACAGUCAGAGGAGAGAGUGCCCUGGGCCCCCGGGGUGUUUGGAAGGGGAACCAUCUGGGCCCUAGGGUCUCUGCAGGUGGGAUGCUUGCUGCCUGCAAAUGUAGGGAAGGCUUCCUGCAAUCCUCCACAAACCCAAGAGAGCCACCUUAAGAGCUCUCCCUCCAUAGGACCAAACGGGAUCCGCCAGGCGUUUCAUAUACCAUAUUCUAUAGCCAAGGAAGCCUUAACAAAGAGCCGUAUGCUCUCACGUUUCGCUUCAGGCUUCUCCCUGCUGCAGCUGGAGCUGAGUUUUUAAAAAUCUUUGUGUCAUUAUUUCGUUCCUCUUUUGAUUCAGCCAUCGAGGGACAAGGAGAUGCCAAACGAAAAGAAUGGCCAUUUAAACAGAACUAGAUUGAAGAGGCAGUGUGUGCGCUGAACAACAAGUCUUUUUACAUUUCAUAUGAUCUUAUACAUGGGCUCCAUUCAGUAUAUUUCCCCUCUGUUUCAUUUGAAUGUACAGAAUUAGUCAUUCACAUCCUCUGGAAUUACGGCUCUUUAACACUUCCAUUCUGAGCUGCCUCCAUAUUUUGGGGGUUGGGAGUGUUAUUAGCUCAGCUGGGAAAGCACAAGCUGAGGUCAGAGUUGGUCUUGCAGGCUGAAAAUGAGCUUUUUCUUUUUUUGGAAAGUGCAAGAUUUGGUGCAUGAUGACUCCGGUCAGAAAAAUAUACGACGAUACACAAUAGUGUGUAUGUGCUGCUAGAACAUGCAUGGAUCUAGUUUCAGUGGAGGGGGUCUUUUUCACAUUAAUCCCAGUGAAAUUAUUUAGACAGAAAAGUGAGCUUUGGUUUUUGGAUGUGGGAUUAGCUCCGCAAUUGCCUGAGGUCGCAUGCGUGGCUGUGUCCUUGUGCAUGGCUGCUGCCUCAUUGUCUUUUUGAAAGACAAAUAUCAAAACCAAAUAUUUACUGUGCUAUUUACUAAAGCUCCCUGGAUACUGAUACAAAUUUAGAAGAGUUGGCCCAGAAAACUCAUUCAAACUGAGUUAGAGUCACAAGAGGUAAACCAUGCUGCUAAUUCUGCUGAAAAGCUCUGCACUGCACUGCUGGCACUGCUGCCCCAAGUAGGGAUGGGACUGUGCAGUGGUAUUGGUGCAUCCUGCAGCCUAUGCUGCCUUCCCUGAGAGUCCUGCAGCAUUCCUGUGGUGUCACACACAUCAUCAGAAGGAAGAAGGCUGGCUUGGGAACAUUUCUCUUGUGAAUCUGCCUUUUUUCUAGAUUUACUUGUCAAUUGGCACACCUCAGCCAGUGUCAUCUUUGGGGGGGUGUUCCACCUUUCCCCAGCAUUUACUGGGGAGUAAAGGAGGGUUCAUUGCCAGACAGAUGGGAUGCCAAAGUGGAAACGAUUCUGCAGACAGGAGAGAGCAGAAUCCACCAUGUCUCUGCUGGCCACUUUGCGAUGCCUAUGUGCUGCAGAGAGGUGCUUCCCUUGAGGGACCUGCAGCUGUGGACCGACUGGUCUGCAAGAACCAACAUCCCAGAAGAAAGUCUCUGCCUCCUCUGCCAUUCUUUCUUUGCUAUAUAUUUAACUUUUUCUAUCCAUGGCUCCUGCAUCAUCAUCAUUUCCUCAGGCCACUUCAUCUGGUUGUUGUGGAAAUGAGGACAAGACGGCAAACAAUAAACAUAGGCCCCCAACAGGGCAAAUAAACCCAGCAAGGUCGAGUGUGACUCUGAAGGCAGCAAGGCUCCCAUUUUCCCCUCGCUUUCUGUAAGAAAAGGAUUACCUGCUCCUCAAGGACAGGAGUACAGGCCUGGGGGAUGGAACAUCAUGCUCUGCAGGGGGUUGUGCCAGCUGACUUCACUUUAAUACACAGCAUCUGCUUGACAGGGUUCACCUGAGCCAGGCACAAAUCCCAAGUCCCCAGUCGACCCCCCUGAACUAGUCAGACACAACCAGGUUGCAGACCUUCCUGGAGAUCCCUUCAAUCACAGCCCCCUGCCUUAACUUAACCUGGUUAUUUAUACCUUUUCCUGUGUGUGUUUAAUUAUAGCAAAACCUGGCAAUAUCACUGUGCUUAAUGGUCUGUUGGCAUUUCCAUUAUGAGCCCAGACUGGAAGGGAUUAUAUAGCCUGAGUGUUUGAACUGAGCCUCAGACAGAGACUUGGCACAGACUUGCAACCCAAAUACAGAGAUUUUCAAUUGGCUAAUGGCAGUUUUGAAAAGGGAACAUUUUCACAUGCUUAGGCUCUUCCAUUUGCUUAAGCUGCCUUCUUCUGUUUUAAACUCAGCAAGCAAAGAGUCGUAAUUCAGCCUGUUACAGCAGUGACUCAUGUUCAUUGCGCAGUGAUGCCAUAACCAGCUAAGGCAAGGCCUUCUGCCUUAAGAGGAAUUACACACAGAGAAAUGACUUGGGAAAUUCAGCUCUUUCACUCACUGCGGUGACACCAUCUGUGUAUCCUAACUGCAGCUGCCAUGGCCAGCAUGAGUUGUCUGACCGCAUCUCAGGCUGUACAGUGGAGACACAGAAUGUCACUUCAUGCAAGAUGUCCUGGACUUUGUGAGCAGCCAGUAGCACUUAUAGGCCAUCAGUUGUUUCAUCCUCAAGUAGAUGAAUCAAACAGGAUAGCCUGAUCAAGUUCUAAAAAUGCUUUUUCUUCCCAUCAGCUCUAUGGGGAGUCAGGGGUAAUAGGCUCAGGCAGCAGUGUCCACACUGGACAUAGUCUGAUGGGACCAGUCACACUUGCUGGGAAUCUAGAGGAGCUCCCAUGGUGGGAUGUGGUCCAUCCAUCUAUCUCCACAAGAGUUUUCUCUAACAGCAUGGAAGGCAGGCAAAAAGCUAUGUCUUAUUUUAAUGCACAGGAGUCUUUGACACAGAAGAACCAAAUGACAUGAUCUCCUAGUAGAUCAAAGAGAGCCUUUUCUGGGAGAAAACCUAGAUCUGCACUGCACACUGAUGCCUCUGCAGGGCCUCUCGUCCUUCUGAAUGCAUUAAGUAAGCAAGUUGAUAUAACAAGCAAGAGAAUAUCAUGUUUUGGGAAGAGUUAAAAGUCAAGUUGGCCAGACACCAACAAAGAAAACUGGCUAGUGAAUGAAGAAAGGCUUAUAGCAAAGACCAUGUGUUGCAAACAGCCUUUCUCUCCAGAAUGCUUGCUUUUGACCUUGGUGGAAGGUGUUCCUGUGUCCACUGGAGAGAUGGUCCAUCCACUGCUGUCUCCAAUCUCUUGCCUGUUGGAGACAGAGUGGAAGGAGGUGAAUACCAAACCCUGUACUCAGCUGGAGAAGAAGCAUCAAGGCCCAAAGCCGCUGCAUUUGCAGGUCAUACCUAGAGGGAUGCUAUGCAAGGUGCCCUGGCUGCUGCUCCCCUGGAGCUGGGGUUGCACUUCAUUCCCGAUCUCAGGGGUACCAGAGCUGGGUGAGCUCACCCAGGCUGUGCUGGACGGCUGCACCCCCUGACCUGGGAAGGGCUGGUGGGGACUGGACAGAGGAGACAGCUCUGUUCCCAGCAGUGCUGUCACCAUGGGAACUUUAGGGACCGAGGCCAUUUACGGUUGGUUGUAAACCCUGACUCUGACAGCAAAGCCUUUCUUUGCCUUUUCCUCUGGACUUGGCCCUGACUGUCUCAGAGAAAGCAGGCUCAAAUUCUACCUCCGGCUGGCUCUGCACACACACAUCCCCUGGCACUGAGUGCUGGCCCACUGCGUGGGAGCUCCUCGAGCUCAGCGAAGUGUCCUGGCUGUCUCUCCCGGAGAAAGUGGAGCAGGCGCCUGAGGUGAUGCCGAACAUCACAGGUUUGACAGCUCUGAAGACACCUGCAGAUAUGCAGGGAAGGAGAAAUGGUGGGUUAGCAGUGUCAUUGCCCCUUGGAGGAGCUCUCAGAUCAAUUUGUCAGGCGAAAGAUCUCUGUUAAAAUUUAGCUCCCCUUGACAGAUUCCCAGCUUUGAGCUGGAAAGGCUCAUCUUUCAGCUUGGCCAAAACUGAAAGUGCUGUGGUGAAAAGAUGGAGAAACAGCUGGCAGGAGCCAGCAGACCACAGACCAUGAAAGAACCAGCCUGGAGGAGAAGUUGAAGGCAGAAGGAUUUCAGCAGCCAAAUCUAAUCUUCUUCUGAUGCCAAAUGCUCCUGUGAAAGCCACUUAGGUUGUGCAGCUCCUGAGGACUCCUGUUGGGAUGCUUCCCCAGCCUUCCGCUAGAGAGAGAGACAUUAAAACACAGACCUGGUAUUGAUGCUGCUCUGUCUCCUGGGAGCUACAGUCCAGGUAGCUCAUGACCAUCUUGUCCUUUUGCAGGCUCAGCACCCCAGCUGGACCACUGAUCCCACUGCGUGCCACAUUACCCUGCUAACAAAAUGUGGUGGCAUGACCAUGGUGCUGAAUGGGAGUCUCUAUGGCAGGGGAGUGUCUGGCAGGGCAGGACUUGGGGACCAGGAGGCAGCCCUUGUUCUUCAUGGAGAAGGCCUGGGUGAGGGAGGGUAUUUUGCUAGACUGCCAGGCUUUCAGGAUUUCAGGUUUGUGUUAAAAAGUAAAAGCUCCCUGCAGAAUACAGAACCUGCUGUAACAGCAGAAUAAAAAAUUCAAUAGUUAGUUAUAAUUUAGACUCAAUGAUCCUUGUGGGUCCCUUCUGACUCAGGAUAUUCUAACACAAAGAGAAAGCUCCAAGAGAUACUCUCUAGCCACUCCAUACAGAAAGCCUUUCAGGGUAGAGCUGCCCACAGAUGCUCCCUUUCCCAAUGGCCCUCACAUGCACAUAUACUCUCCACCUCAGUUUUCCCCACAGCUUGAGGUCCAGCUCUGCCUAUUGGGCUUGGCAGGACCUGUGACCCCAUCUACAUAGGAAGACAUCUCCUGGCAAAGUGAUGCACUUGAAAUAACAUGGACCACUGCUUUCUCCAUUCUUUUGCUUCAUGUGCACGUGGAUGAGUCACUGGCUGGCACCUUGGCUGGAAGAUGGAUAAGCCACCCCCAUGCUGCUGACACAGCCUGAAUACAGACUUUCUGCUCUUGCCUAGGUAUGAGACCAGGAUGAGAUGAUGUGCUUCCUAAGAAAAAGUGACUGGAUUUGUUCUGGGCUUCCUGUGGGAUUCUGGGGGAAAAUGAAAAGGCUUUGCUGCUUUGCUGCUUUAUGAGGGGAAAAACAAAGGACAAUCAGAGACCGGCAGUGUUGACUGCUCAUCCAUGGAGAACAGUGGAUCCAUGAAAGGCUAAAGUCUGUUUGCACUGGUUCCUAGAGCUAAUGAAGUAUGACUGUGAAGGGGGCUCCUAAUGCUAGUGCAAAGCAAGGCUCAGAAGCUUCAAAUGUUUUCUUGGAUGGACUCCAAACCUUCUGCCCUCCUUUGGGCUACAGCUGAGGCUGGAGACCUCAGAGCUGCGAAGACUUCAGUGCAGCUGCUUCCAAGAAAAACCGGAGCCAUCACAAUGAAAAUAAAUAAAC